CAAGCGGCGGAGCAUGCGGAUAAAUUCGAUGCAACGCGAAGAAUCUUACCAAGGCUUGACAUUCACCGGACCGCCUCAGAGAUGGGGUUUCCCUUCGGGGCUGGUGGACAGGUGGUGCAUGGUUGUCGUCAGCUCGUGUCGUGAGAUGUUGGGUUAAGUCCCGCAACGAGCGCAACCCUCGUUCUAUGUUGCCAGCACGUGAUGGUGGGGACUCAUAGGAGACUGCCGGGGUCAACUCGGAGGAAGGUGGGGAUGACGUCAAAUCACCAUGCCCCUUAUGUCUUGGGCUUCACGCAUGCUACAAUGGCCGGUACAAAGGGUUGCGAUACUGUGAGGUGGAGCUAAUCCCAAAAAGCCGGUCUCAGUUCGGAUUGAGGUCUGCAACUCGACCUCAUGAAGUCGGAGUCGCUAGUAAUCGCAGAUCAGCAACGCUGCGGUGAAUACGUUCCCGGGCCUUGUACACACC
rnacentral:rRNA from 1 species